CUCGUUCUAAAGAGACGGUAUCUUAGCAUUCUAAACCAAUGUGUAUAUAGUGUUUCGCUUUAGUGUCGUUUUGAAAAAAAUUAAAGCUCCGUCUUUCGGUCGUUCCACUCCCGCGACGCCAGGAAACUACACCCUCAUCUGCGUGUUCGAGGCGCUGCGUCAGGUGCUGUGGAACAAGAACUACACGUGCACCGACUACGUCUACAUCCGGUUCUUCACGUACAGCACCGAGAAUAACCCGAACGAACCGGUGGUGUUCGAGAGGAAGAAGCUCAAAGUGGGACUCGUGAAUGUGUACUACGACGACAGCAACGCGGAAUGGAGAGAGUACGCCUAUCGAUCGCUCGACAAUCGAGUGAAGAUCGCCAUGUCACGACACCCAGGAACCCGCUGGUAUUUGGGCGUUUGGGGUUCCGCCUACAUGAGGCUCAUGUCCGGCCUCUUCCACGCGUCGGUCGUGCAAAGGGCCCUGCACGACACGCUGCGGAGCCAGUUCAGCGACAAGCUGAACAUGUCCCACUUCCAGGGGUUCGCCAUCAUCAACAGCAUCAUACGCGACACCAGGCCUCUGGGUCGCUCCUUCAAUUUCAGCGAUGUGCGUACACCCUGGGGAAGCGCUCCCUAGUUUCUGGGGUCGAAUGCACAAACCUCUUCUCUCGUAAACGCUGUUUCUUUUUUCACUUUUCUUCUUUUCUUUUUGCCAUUGAACAGAUUUUAACGAUAACUGCUUACGUGCCGCACAUUUGUGCCUACCCGAUGAGGGAACGCUUUGAUCGCUAUGUCACGUAAGAGUUAUCGCUACAAAGAAAUUAUUGUAUAAGAAACUUCGCUAGAGUUGUUUAAAUAUGCGUAAGCAUCGUGCCAUUUGCUCGUCUCCACGCAGCCUGGCGUAGAGAUAACCAUUAAUAGAUUAUAUUUUUCUUUAUGCCGAUGAUGUAAUACAUUUCAUGUAGCGAUUCGUGUUACGUGAUAGACGGAUGGAUUUUUUUUUUUUCGUUAAAUAGUCAUAGAAAUGUUUACGCAUUUAAACCAGAACAGAAUAAUUUCGCAGGGAAAAGACGUUCACGAUGGUGAGGUUUGAGCCCACGACCCCACACUGAGAAGCCGAGUGUCCUACCCACUAGUCCAAACACCCAUGCUUUCAGAGGGUGAAUAUAUCUGGGCCACAUGAAUGUGCUUUACCGGUGGUACAACACAAACGUCAAAGGAGAACUGUUUCUAUGAAGGCUUUGUCGAAAGGUUUGGUUAUGGUGGAAUAAAAGCCAUCUCUAGGACCACACGUAGUGCCGGCUUGGAACAUUCUAUACAUUGGCAAUGUUUCUGAUUUAGCGAAAAUUU